AAAGUAGGUAGGGAAUGAUUCCUCGGCCAUGCCUGCCAUGUCCCCAGUCCCUGUGUGCCUAGAAGCAUCCGCUAGCCCAAGACAAGCAUGCACGUUGCGCGGGAGCGGCCGCAUACAAGAAUUCGCGGUGAGAACGUCGUCGACCGCAUUACCGCCAACCCACAAAGGACUGCGAUCUCAAGGCCUUGCUCCUUCAGCUGUAGCGCGACGUGAGCCCUGCCAUUUCACUUUCAAGAUACGUAAGCUGCUUCGACCCUGAAAAUGCCGACGCAAUGGUGCAUCUGAACAGCCAAUGGAUACCAUGCCCACUCUGUAACGACCAGUGCUUUUAAUGAAACAGCACAGCAGAAUAGUCAACCACGUGAGGCACCUCAGACAGCAUAUGCAGUGGGUUGUGACGGAUUUAAUGAUUUCAUCAGCAUUUUCACUGGAUGCAAGGCUGUGAAUCUCUUGUAUGAUGCAUGUGUGGAAAAGAAACCCAACAUCCGGUGCACAUGCCUGCUUGAAACAGUCGGGCAUAUCCCAUUAGUUGAGUGCCCCCGUGUCGGCAUUUGCUGAUGUGAUCCCAGCUAUCUUCACCCAUUACAUUCUGCUGAAUUUACUGCAGCCACCCUUUGGAAAAAUAACACAUGGCAAUUAUUUCAAGGUAAUUAGUUCUCCCAUACAGAAAAAAUACCAUUAGCAGUACUCGUGGGUGAUAAUCUGCCAGUUUGCAAUGGUGGCGAGCAUAAAUACCACUAGCUGUAGUAACACCAGUUUUGAAAUUAGGAAGCAACUUUCUUGCAGCUAGACUUUAUGUGUACUAUGUUUCAUGCAACGUCAGUGUUCAGAAUAAAAGCAUUUGACCACUGCAAAUUGUAGUUUUUUUUUUCUU
rnacentral:lncRNA from 1 species